GUCCUAAUAACAGCGCUCAGCAGAGUGCAGAAGGGCAGGCUCCACCAGCAUGGCUGCCCUCGUGCCCCUGCUCACCUGUGGGCUCUGCAUGGUGCUUUUCAUUGCCGCACUCCUCUGUGCUGUAAAAGGUUUGAAACGAUCAGCUUCAAAUUUGCCUCCCGGUCCGUUUCCUCUCCCCAUCAUCGGCAACCUGCACCUGCUGGACAUCAGGAGGCAGGACAGGUCUCUGAUGAAGAUUUCCGAGAAAUACGGGCCAGUGUUCACUGUCCACCUGGGGAUGCAGCAGGUGGUGGUGCUGAGCGGCUAUGAGGCAGUGAAGGAUGCACUUCUGAACACAGCGGAUGUGUUUGCAGACAGACCCCCUAUCCCCAUCUUCCAUCAGAUCCAGCAUGGAAAUGGUGUGUUCUUCUCUUCCCAAGAGCUCUGGAAGACAACACGGAGGUUCACCUUGGCGGUUAUGCGAGAUCUGGGCAUGGGGAAGCGGCUUGCGGAGGAAAGGAUGCUCGAGGAGCUUCAGUUUCUCAUUGAGCUGAUCAAAUCCUUUCAAGGUGGGCCAUUCCGACUUCGGCUUUUGAAUGCGGCCCCCACCAACAUCACCUUUGCCAUGCUCUUUGGGAGAAGGUUUGACUAUGGAGACCCAACGUUUGUCACUCUGCUACGACUCAUCGAUGAGGUUAUGCUCCUUCUUGGCUCCCCAUUCCUGCACCUAUUUAAUUUCUACCCAUUUCUUGGAUUUCUUCUUAAACCUCACAAGAUGAUACUGAAAAAAGUAGAAGAGGUGUGUGUGAUCCUAAGGAAACGUAUCCAGGAAAGCAAAGCAAAUAUUAGUGGAAACAACCUGACGAGCUACAUUGAUGCGCUGGUCUUCAAACAAGAGGAGGAUAAUAAAAGCAAUACCCUCUUUCAUGAUGCAAAUGUGUUGGCCUCUGCACUUGACUUGCUCAUGGCUGGCACUGAAACAACAUCCACCACCCUGCAGUGGGCCGUCCUGCUGAUGAUGAAGUACCCCGAGAUUCAAAAAAAGGUGCAUGCAGAGAUUGAGCGCGUUCUUGGCCCUGACUGCCCGCCUACCUUUGAGGACCGGAAAAACAUGCCCUUCACCAACGCAGUCAUCCACGAGGUGCAGAGAUUUGUCACCCUUCUGCCACACGUUCCGCGGUGCACCUCUGCUGACACUCGUUUUAAAGGCUAUUUCAUACCCAAGGGAGAGGUCAGUGAGAUUUUCCCAGCUGUGCCAAGGACUGAAACCAAAUGCCACAUGGCACGGCGAGGAUCUCAGGCAGAGGGUCAGAUCCUGCGCGUUCCCUGGCAAAUACUUCACUGGGCAGAUGGCAUCAGAGCUCCCUCUAAAGAAGCUGGUCUGUAGUGCCACUGGCAGCAAGAGGAGCAUGGUGUGCCCCUGGGCUGGGCUGUACCCACCUUGGGAAGGAAGUAUCCCCUAAAGUGGGUGUCCACAGCAGUGCAGCGGGGAACGUGGGGCAGGAGGGUGAUGAACCUCUGCACUUCGUGGAUCACCGCGUUUGUAAAUGGCAUGUUCUUGCGGUCCUCGUACGUCACCCAGCUUCCAGCUUUGACAGUUCUUCCAAUCUCCUCCUGCACCUUUUCUGGAAGGAACAAAGAAUGGGGAUGUAUCCCAGCAAGGAAACCAACUCCCCCUCCAGAUUUGAUUUUAGUAAAAAAAAAUGUGUUUUUCCGGGGUCUGGAGGAAGAGGAGUCUUAAAACACCAGAAGCUCACUUUGGAUCUCUGGGUAUUUCAUCAUCAGCAGGAUGGCCCACUGCAGCGUGGUGGCCGUGGUCUCUGUGCCCGCCAUGACCAGGUCAAGUAUGGAUGCUAUUAAGUUGUCAUCAUGGAAGAGGCUGUCUUUCUUGUUUUUCUCCUGGAAAAGGACAAGCGUGAGAAAGCUCUUAGAAUAGUAUUCGUAUUCAGCAAGUUUGGGAAAUACUUUAUAACCCGGAAGACUGUUGGGUAUGAUCGUGUGUUUGAGAGCAGCUUGGUGAAAGAUCUGAUGUUGCUUCUCCUGGGCCUUAGGAGGCUGCACUGAACCUUCCUCCACAGUGAUGGGAAGAAGACUAAUGCCUCACGUUGGCCCAGAUCCAGUGGGAAAGAAAAGACUCAGAGCAUAAAUACUUUGUGUGGAAUGAAAUCAACUGAUGUGUGAAAUUGCAGUCUCUACUAAAGUAAGAUGCAGGGCUGGGCUCGCAAAUGUACUGACCAUUUAUCAUUCCAGUACUUUAAGUGUAUCGUUCAUCUUAGAGCAACAGUAUCAAUGAUUAAUUGAUUUGUUGUCAUGAAAAGAAAAGCACAGUCAGCUUACGUGUGAGUUCAUGCAUUUUCUACUACAAACAAGGACUUCAUGUCACAUUAUUAGCACUGCUAUUUGGGGAAUGGAUUGAGAGAAUGACUUUCACAUCUCAGUUUUGAUAGAAAAAUCCCUGCAGUAAAGUACACCAACCGUACAAGACUGGAAUCUGAUUUCAGUGCCACGAGAACAAUAGUAUUAAUUUCAGUAGGGCUACAUGACAGGGCUGAAAUCCAGAUCCACAACUGUUUUAGCUAGAAAAGAAGACAUUGCAAACAGCCAGCAGAGCCCAAGCAAUCCCGUACCUCAUGCUGCUUGAAUACCAGGGCAUCAGUGUAGCUCCUUACACUGUUCUCAUUGAUAUCUUCCCUGCUCGCCUUCAUGUAUUGCCUUAUAAUGACACGCACGUCUUCUAUUUUCUUAAGCAAAAUCUUGUGGGUUUUGAAAAGAAAUCCAAGGAAUGGGUAGAAAUUGAAAUACUAAUAAGAAAUUAAAAGAAAAAAGAGAGAAGUGUUAGGUCUGCAGGAGAAUCAACAUGCUGAAAUAGCUUCUUCCUAAGGCACGAUGGAUGAGGUGAGUUUUGUCUGUAGUACUAUCUGUGCAUCCCUGGGAGUCCUGGAGGGCUCAUUUUCACACUGGGCUCAUUUUCACAAUGGGCUUUGCAAUCUAUCAGCCUUUAUGCAGUACAACUCAAUUUUAAGCUUUUUCACUGUUCAAUGGAAACUGCUCCUCCACCAGUAACUGGUAGACUGGCCAGGAAAAAAUGCUAACCUUUGGGAUAGGUUACUUACAUUCAAGUAUGGAGAUCCCAGAAGAACCAUAACUUCAUCUAUGAGUCUUAGGAGAGUGAGAAAUGUUGGAUCCUUAUAGUCAAACCUGUCCCCAAAGAGCAUGAGGAAGGUGAUGUUGAUUGGAGCAAUGCUGAAGGACCUGAGGCUGAAAGGUUCCCCUGCAAUGGGAGGAGGAGAGCAGUGUCAGAGUGACGUGGAUGCUGCAGAGCACCACAGUGGGCUCCUGCUCACCUUUGAAGGAUUUGAUCUUCUCAAUGAGGAAGUGAAGCUCCUCACAAACCUUCCCUUCCAUCAUCUGCUUCCCCAUGCCGAGGUUGCGCAUGCUGGAGACGGUGAACCUGCGCGUUGUCCUCCACAGAUCGCCAAUGGAGAAGAACACACCUGGAACAGCCGCACCACACAAAGUUACCAAUGAUCGGAAGAGGAGUUGGACCAGGAGGCAAUUUAAACGCUGCGUUUUUAGAGCCGGUUGAAAAAUAGAGUACAGCUAACAGCACUGCUGCACACAGCAGACCCAUUAAUACAGGAUCGGAGAUAAAAGAAAUCAAGAAAGCCAUUUUUUUUUAAAGCACUACUCUGGUUUUUGGUGUUAGAAGCAAUCAAAGCGCAGCGGCAGCGCUCGGCUCCUGCCAGCUGGCUCUCUGUUUGUUCUCUGCGAUCGCUACAAGCACUCGAUUCUUAUUAAGGUUUGUAGAGUACCUAAAUAAAUACUGCAUACUCCACCCUCUUUAAACACCUCGGAGAAUGUGGUCUAAGCAGUUUGCAAAGCCUGUCCAGGAGUAAAGAGAGUUUCAAAUUACAAACCCAUGCAUGUGUGUGCAGGAACAUAUACAUGGGAAAAGGUGCUUGGCAUUCCUCUAUCGCCUCCUCCGCCCGAGACCUCCAGGUCCCUCACUGGCAGUUCUGUGACCCUCUGAACGCUGCUGACGUGGGGGAAUGGAAAGGUUCCUCUGAGCCAUGUAGGAAACCUGGGUUUGGACUGGCUUUGGUUGGGGCUUGGGAUCUUGGGGCUGCUAAAGAGAGAAGCGGAGAAGGGGAGGCUUUGACUUUGUGUCAAGUGGAGAUCAAAGGUUGUUAAUGAUGGUAACGGCCAUGUAUCCCAGGGUGCUGAAGCCCAUAAAGCUCACAGAGUGGCUGCGGAGUGCCCUGAGGGGAUGGGAUUGCAGACUUCUGAGGUGCAGGACAUGUAGGAGCUGGCCAUGGAAAAUUAGCACGGGUCAAGUGAUCAUGAGUGGAUUCAGUGUAAAUUAAAUGGGAAGGCAAAAUUGGAUCUUAAGUUGCUGGGAGAUUCGUCAUUUGGAAAGAGCAACUUCUAAGAGACAGAGGGGAGAAAUUAAUGAAGUUAAUGAAGCUAGCUGAGCUGGGGGGCUGCAGAACCUGAGCAUGAUGGAGAAUGGAACUAUUGUGAGUCAAAGGUAUGAAACACCUGGAGCAUGCAUUCCUCCUGAAGGUUCCCAUCCCCUGCAGAAGGACUGAGGUCUGUCAGGCUGAGCCGUGGCCGUUAGAGGGAUGCUGGGAAUAAACCAUCCAUGGAAUACGUUUGCUCAGGGAAGAAAGGUCUGUCGUGAUGCAAUCAGGAAGCACAAAGCUCCUAUUAUCCAAAGCUUAGAUUGUAUAGAGGAUGUUAUUCGGCAGUGUGUCCUCAGCAUUCCGACAGCAAAGAGGGUUGGGAAGGCAGCAGGCCUGGUGUGCAGGGGGUAUAGCAUGGUCCCGGAGCAGCUCUGGUGCACACGUGCUGCAGAGAUGUGGCGGUGUGGCAGAAGCAGUGAAUGUGUUGCAACAUUUCUGGGACUUUUUUAUUAGUUUCCAAGAAAUGGGCUGGAGGCGACGGUUUUCUCUAGAGCAUGCCUUGUGUGACUCAGCCCUGCUGCAGCAAGCACAGAGCAGCAGGGGUGUGAAGCGGGCAAAUGGGGCCGGGAUGGCACAGGGUGCAGAGCAGGGGCACGGCGCUGUGCUCCGCGUGUGCUCCUGCAGGGCUCGGUCUGACCUGAGCUACGUGCCACUGCCGUGCUCCUGGUAUGUCAUCCCUGCCCUGGGAGCUGCCAAAAUCAUAAAAAAGCCUUUCAGAGAGAGAUUUAAAUUAUGUCUGAAAGGCCGGGAGGGGGAGAGCACCUUGGGUUUUUUUAAACCUACCAACCUCUGAGUGCAAUGCAUUAAGAUGACAAAGGUAAGUCAAGCUGUUGCGAUGACAAGAAAUUCCUGUCUCAAUAACCCGUCUAGUACGUGUUCUGCUCCAGAGCCACACUGCUACGUGCUGCCCUGCCCGGCACCAGCACAGAGCCCUGCCAGGCAGCAGCACCGCGUGGGCUCCAGGUGAGCACUGCGAGGCAAUGCAUCCGCAUUUCUUCCUGGCCUGGCUUUUACCUUGGAGAACACAGAGCUGUAUCCCUUCUGUGGUGUUAGGGUUUUUAACAGGCAGAAAAGAUCUGUUUCCUUUAUUAGCUGAAAUGUGUUGCCAUUCACUUUAAUUUUCCUUUUUCCCUCUGCGAUGAGGAAAGGUUGAUGGCAGCUGAUGACUCCGACCAUCUCUGGGACACUGCAUGGCCCUGCCUUUCCUUCCUCCCUUCUCUGUCUCCUCGUUCUGUGCCAGCGUCUAUGUGAAGGGUUUUCCUUCUCCAUCACCGUUUUCCUUUCCUCCUAUCCCAAAUUCUCCACAAGUCAGUCAGUCCUUUUAGAAAUAUGAUAUCCAGAACUCAAAGCCAUCUCAGCUGCUUGUCUGCCUCCUUGGGAGCAAGGCAAGAAGAAGCCUGGCACGGCAUCUCCAGCAUCUUGUAGGUCUGGGAGGACUCCACCAGAUAAUCAGCUCUGAAAAUUCUUCCCUUCUUAAAAAUGGCAUCGACUUGUGGACUGCGCAAAUGCUUAGGAAAAGAGAUACUUUUGAAGGGAUAAUUAUCAAAGCACUGAAGAAGCCUUUUUGGUUGUGACCUUCUAGAAACGGCCUGGUUUCCUUGGAGCUGUUUGUGGCUCUGGGCAUUGCUCACACGUUGCGUUGUUAAACAUGUUCUGGCCGCGUGUUGCCCAGGGAUCCCUGCACUCCGUGUGGGCGUACAAAAGGAGGUGCAGCCCAGCUUUAUCGGUCCGACCCUAAAUCUGCUUUAUCUUGCAACGCCAGAUAGAUCAACAGCAACAGAGCAAAAUAUUUAUUUGUUAAGUAGGAGCUAAGGUCAAGCUUGCAGUAGUUAGACUGCAAACAAAGCAGCAGCAAAAUGAAUGUAAGCAAGCAUAGCAGCAAAGGCAUUCUUGUAACACAGCUUGUUCAGCAGAUUCCUUGAGCUGGAUCGGAAGCUGGAGCUGGCCCCAAGGCACAGCACAAGUGAAAGUGCAGCCCCAGUACGAGCACAGGGAACGUACGAGUGCAAUACCGGGACAAAGCACGGUGCAGCUACCAGAGUGCUGCCCGUAGAUGUGAACUAAAGCUGUGAAGUCAGAGCCUUGGCUGAACAAAGAGUGACUACUUUGUCGUCUCUUCGUAUUCUCUUGCUCCUUUCUUUCCUUCCACUUGCAGCACAGAUCAGGUUUAGAUGACAGUAACAUUUUGUGCUAGACUUGCCCCAGCCACCCCCUCAAUCUCUGUAACUGUCAGUUUCUCCCUUUUUUCUUUCCAUCCUGACUUGCCUUUCUUGCUUCCAAAGCAACACAAAGCAUCUUCAGUGACUCACCGCUCUCUAACCCACAUCUGGUUUCCUGCCUGUGUUAACAGACGAAGCCUCCUCUCUUACCCGCACCAUCAUUCAAGUUUCACACCUUCCCUUUGCAGCACAGCUCCUUGUUCCUACACAUAAUGGCUGCUCCAGAAGAUAAUCAUUAACUGUUCUAACCAAGCAGCUGCCCUAGGAAGGCUUCCCUCUGUGCUGACACCAGCUCUCUGCGCAGACCCCAUGCACCAAGCUUGUGACACAGUAACAGGCUGGAUAGUAAGCUCUAACCCACCUCUCUUUCUAGUUUUACAGUCUUUAAUGGCUAUGGGAAAAAUCCUAUGAACUUUGUCAGCACUGCAGAGCCUUUGCUGGCAGUGUGAGCAUUUUCAGCUCUGGAUUUGUAACAUUGGUUCCCAUGCAGGUGACUGCAGCACUGCCUCAGGCUUGUGUGCAGCAUCACGUGUGCUGGUUCAGAAAGCACUCACUUUCUGUGGCUGCUUGUUUUCUGCUAGUGCAGGGACAGAGCUGGCCCUGAGUGUGGCUGGAUGUGUGUCAGAGCCAGGAGAGGCAAAGGAGUGGGAGAAAAGCCUUCCUUAUUGUGAAAGCUGCUAGACUGGCCCCCUCAUAAAUAGGCUCUUCAGUGUAAAACAUCCAGCACAAUGUGGAACGAGCCCACUUUCCAAACCACUUAGCAGUUUCCUGAUAGCUGGCCCAUGCCUGGCUCUUGGCAUCAGCCUGUGUCACACCUGAGUGUCUGCGACGCUGUGAUAAAGAUAAGGCUGUGCUGCACAAUGGCAGCUCAGUCCAAGGCUCGGCUCAACAGCCAUCUCAGGGAGACUUCCAGACCCUCUAAGGGGCUGCUGUCUCCAGCUGGGCCAUCAAUAACCAGCUCUGCUAUAGAGCUGGGAUUCAGGCUGAGAAAUUCCCCAUGGAGACUCUCAGGGGAGAGCCCCUGGUGGGUUAUGUCCAUAGAGGAGGCUCAAAACUAUGUCAUUCUUUGAAACAGCCCUGCGAACUGCAUCUGGUGUUCCAGUGAGUGGGUCGUGCUGUGUCUGGGAGAGCUGCUCAGAGGUGUCUGAAGGGUUUGCAUCGUACAGAGGGUACAAGAGCUCUUGGAAAGGGUUGUAUGAACAAGACACAAAUAGCAGAACCCAGUGCCCUUUCCCUAAAGCUCAGGCAGAGAGCUUUUCCCCCUGUAGCUAGACUUGCGUUCAAGCUUGAAGUGCCCACUACACUACCUUCAUGUCAUCUGAUCAUUUGCAGGGCACAGCACAGACCAGGUGAGGCAUGGGGCUCAGGGUGAAGCCAACAUCAGCAGUGAGAUCUAGCUCUGCUUUGUUCACCCCUGGAGGGGGCUGGAAAACAAAUCUGCGGAGCAAGCCUGCGAAGAAGAGGAACAGCUCCAUUUUGGCCAGGCCUUCUCCAACACAAGCCCUUCGUCCUGAAAACAACAAGGAGAGGAGUAAAUGUUAAGUAGUGGAACUGCUGGUGAUGGCAUCCGAGACCUUCUAAACUGGACACGCAGUCUGUGCAGAUGAGUGAUAAGCAGCAGAGGAGGAGCCCAUGGACCCGGGAAGCUGUGUGCUGCAGAUACAGAGCUGCAGUGUGUUCAGUACAGGCUGCUGGUGCUGUUCUUGUUCUCCCCUCAAGAAGUAGGUUGUGGGAGGCCAUGAGGACAAACACCAUCAAUCAGACAUGCCCCCAAAAGCUAAGACUUAAAAUCAAGCCCUUACCAGCAUCAUCGGUGAGCCCAGCAGCUUGGUAUUCUCAUUUAACAGCUUCAGCAAAGUGAGAAAUGCUGGAUCAUCAUAUUCAAACCUCUCUCCGAACAGUAUAGAGCAGAUGACGUUGGAUACAGCAUUGUUGAGGAUCAUCUUCGUGUCAAAUGGUUUCCCUGCAGUUCAGGCAAAAUGAUGAUGGGAUGAUGCCCAUUUUGCCCUGUGAUGCAGGGGUGUGCUGCUGGGGCAGGGAACAGCUGGCUGGCCUUAGAUAUUAUCAGGGAAUGCUGUGCAAAAUGCCACAUUCAAGGCAUGGGAAAAGGACAGAGAUUUGGUCAGUUUACUGUGGAAAUGUGGAGAAAAAGCCUCAUUUACCACCCAGAAUGCACAGCAGGGACUCUGGUUUCAAUGUCUUAAGGCCUCCGUUUAAUAACCUACCUAAGCACAUGCUGAACUUUAACCAUCAAAUACCAUUUGCUCAAUGUUAAACUUUCGUUAAUCUUUAUUGUUCUGCUAGACACGUUUUCUGUCUCCGGAUGAAAUUGUUGACACUCACCUUGAUAAGAUUCAAAAUGUUUAAUUAGAGAAUUUAGUUCCUCCAGGAUUCGGACCUCAAUCGUUCUCCUUCCCAUUCCAAAAUCUCGCAGUGUGGACAAGGUGAAUCUUCUCAUAGUUUUCCAUAACUCUCCGUGGCUGAAUGCUAUGCCUAAAAUGAAAGUGUCAAAUCCUUAUGCUGCCUGUGGUUAGUAAAUGUCUGUAAGGCCUUGUUACAGAGCUGCUCAGUACAUGAUUGUACAGACAAAAGGCAGUCAUAAGAUGUUCUCUGCAGUCUCUGCAGACCAACUACAAAAACCAAUGACAACCAAAAGGCUGUUUACCGUUUCCUCGUGUCAUUUUCCUAAAUAUGGGUAUUUCUGCUCUCUCUCCAAAUUCUUCAGCAUGAUUUAAAAGGGCAUCCUUGAUGGUUUCGUAUCCAGCCAGCACCACAGCUUUCCUGGGUCCGAAAUGCACGGUGAAGACAUUGCCAUAUAGCUUGGAGAGCUGUCACAGUGAAUAAAUACGUUCAUUCUGAACCAGAGCUGGACCCAAACGCUACCUCCCUAGCUAGCUUCCAGCCCGCAGCGUCCCUCCCAGCCCUGCUCCAGGUCUUCAGGUGCUGCUGUACUGCGACUGCUGAGCAACGGCUAUCACUGCCAGCAUCUCUGCUUGCACCCUGUUUGCACAACAAGGUGUCUGCUAUCGCUACUCCUAUCAGAUGAGCAGUCAAUAAAAAAGCACUGCAUUCCUGUGGUGUUCUGCAGCAACAGGCCAGCAUAGCAAUACUACUGUGUGGAGGCUGUUUGCAAAUGCUGUAGCAGGCAGGCUGUUUAUUUUAAUACCACUGACCUGAGGCGAACGGGUGUGGGCACCACUUCAGGGCUGAAGCCACAAACACUACAAAAACAAAGCUAGACAAUAACUCUUUCAGGACAGCACUUGUCCCUAAUUGUUGCAAGGUAGGUAGUGUUGUAUUCGUGGUGAAAUCAUUUGCUGGCCACCAGAAACUUCAGCCUAACUAGGAAGCAUUCUCUUGUAUAUAAUGUCACAGGAGCACUGGGCUUUUAUAGGAAAUUAAAUAUGAAUCAUCCGUCACACAGAAGAGUGGCUUUGACAAUCUAAUCACUCACUUGGUAUUUUAGCUUUAGUUUAAACACUGCAAGCCAUCCGCUCCAAAUGUCUCCUUGUUUCCGACGUGCCUGAGUUACCGUUUGCUAUGCAUUAGGUGCAUACCGAAAAUUGAAUUUCAGAUUAGAAGCAGCUCCUGUUAUUACACCAGACAAAUUAAAUUUGUUUUCAUCAAAUGACCAUUUGACAGCUUGGGAGAUAACAUGAGCGCUGGUUCAUGCCUCCCUGGCAGCGAACAGGCGUGCAGCAGGUUUGGGGCAGCACAUCACAGCCACCACCCGGCCUGCCUUUGGUUAUUUCUUCUCAUUAGGACUUCUUGGUGUCAGCCCUGGUUUUACUCAGCAACUCAAGGAUUGAAUGCAGCACACCUGAAAGCCUAAAGCUGGUUGACAGCUUAUGGGAAGUGAAUCCGGUGCCUUCAAGAGACAGCUGUAUCAUGGGAUCCCCCAGGACUGCCAGAAAUAGGUGGCUUUCCCUAUGGGCAUGCCUAUGGUACGGCCAUGGAAACUGCUCUGCACAAACCUGGUGGAACCACAGAUGAAGGCUAAUGGACGCUGUGUGACUGCUGUAGGAAAUAUGCAUUUUGCAGCCCAGGAAGUCCUUCCACCACUAACUGCAGAAUUUGAGCAUCUGCAAGGCCCUCUCGUUGUGGCUGCCCGGAUGAACUUAGCAGGACUGGGUCUCCCCAUUGUCAGCACACAAUUGCAUCUCCAUUUCCCUAGCUGCAUUCCUUGCUUUGGGAAUUGCAUGCUUUCCCCCUGCCUGCUCACUCCCAGCCUACCUCUGUCAGCGACUGGAAUGGCUUUUUCAGGUCCACAACAUUCAAGUUUCCGAUCAGAGGAAGAGGCUGCGGCCCAGGAGGCAAAUUGCAAAUUCUCUUCUUCCAGCUGGUGGUGAAGUAAAGGAGAACGGCCAGCCCUGCUGCCAGAUAGAGCAGCGAGCUGAUGGCCACACACUGCAGAAAGCUUGUUAUGGCCAUGGCUGGAUCAGAAACCAGAAUGUGGGUAUGAGCAUCCUGGGGCUUCCUUUAUAGCCCUUCUGUCAUCACCUGAGCACACCUUGUGGGGAAGUGGCUUUGCACAGAGAAAAAGGCUCUCAGGUCUUGUUUACUUCCAUUUGGACCACAUGUACAUUUUUACCUGCCAAAAAAGCUACCUAUUUUAUUCAGAAAAUUGGAUUAACUUAAUCUGGAGCUCCUAUUUCAUCUGCAAGAACAGAGCAAGGUGUUUGUUUUCCAGUGUUACGUGGAUGUUGUGGUCCAUGUGAUUUCUGGUGCAGAAGGAAGGGCUGUGCUGGGCUCUCCCAUGGCUGUCCUGGUGCAGCGACUUCGCUGGAGCACUGGGCAGCCAAUGGGAGAAGCAGAACUUGGGAGGGAAGGCCCUCAGUAAUGACCAGGGGGCAGCUGGCAAGGAAGCCCCUGGAGAACACAAAGCCAACCAAGUAGAUGGGAUGGAGCUGACACGAUGUGCUGACUUCAGGCUUGCAGAAAAGUGUUGGUCCCCCCACGGGUAAAGCUCUGUUUCUCCAGCACACCGGCAAAAUCACUUCCUUGGGCAACCCAGUGUUUUCGUGGCAGACAUUGUUACCGUCCUGCUAGUCCUCUGCUGACCAUCCCAACAGGCCCCCGAAAUCACUUGAGUCACUAUUCUGCAGCCUACUGGUCAGAGGCAGUGUGCUUUGUCUAGUUUAGUGAUGUGGUGGUUCCUGCCUUUUCAAGAGCAGAUAUGUGCAGUCCUCUAGGAAAGAGCAUCCCCUCCAGACUUCUGCCUCGGGUGGGAAAGAGACCCCGCGUGACUGUAGGUGGAGCGGGGCAGGGCUGGGCAGCAGGCUGGGCAGAGGAGAGAGGCUGCCUGGAGCUGCUGCAGAGCGGGUGCCAACCAGGAGGAGCGCGAAGCCCUGAGCACUGAGUCAUCCACCAUGCCAGGGCACGGUCCUGCAAGAGCCAGCGUGUCUGGGGGGCUGACAGCUCACCGAGAGCCACCCGCACCCUUUGUGUCCUUGGGGGAUGUCAGCGAAACAGAAAGGAUCAUGAACGGGAGGCCACAGCUGUAAUUGGUGGCCUGAGGGGAAGAAGCCAAUGUGAUGCUCCAUCACAUAUUCUCGGAUGGGGAUAUUGUGCUCCCCACUUGCAUAUUCUGUCUGAUUACCGGGCUGUGCUGCUGUCCCACCCUUUAGAAAUCUUUAGUUUUAAUAAUCCUUUUUGCUAGAAUCCUCUGAGGCUCCACUGGUGGAAAAAAUGAUGAUUAUUUAUUAAUAAUAAUAAAAGUACAUUAGCUGGAGGCAAGAGGAAUCAAUAAACUCUAAUUAGAUUGACAUGAGGAAAGGUGCCUGCAUGUCUGCCUGUUCUCUGUAGCUGGUUAUUGGGGUGGAGGGGAGAUUUUUCACAAGGGGAUUUGUGAUCUGCAGGAGAGGUGUAGGCAGUGCGAGGAAAGGUAGGAGGGCAACACAUAGCUGUGUCCUUGUCAGGAUCUGCUGCACAAGUGAGAAGACCUCGGUCUGUGUCCUCUUCUACCGGAGCAGAGGUGGCUACUGCUAUAGAAAGGAGAGUCUUCUCAGGGGCUUUCCAACUGCUUCAAACACAGGUUGUACCUGGUGAUAAGAGAGCCUGAAAUCUUUUCUCAAGCAGCGAGCCGACGGACUUGCAGCCUGCAGGAGCCAUGCCUGGAAAGGAUGAAUGAGGUCUCCACGGGAGAUGAUCGUGGCAGUUUUAAAAUACCACGAAUGCCAUUUCCUCACCUCCAUCUCUUCCUCACAAACCUUGGCUUCCACUAUGCACUCCUAAGCACUGCCAACCAAUUUGUUGGCUUACAGGGCUGGGUAGUAAAUUCUGUUCUCUGCCCACAAGUGCCUUUGUCUUUCUACCAGCACAAGCCAGAACCAAUACCACCUUCAGGAAGGCAGGGUUUGUGGGCAUUGCUCGGGGAAAUAAUGGGUUCCUCCUAGGAAAGGACCCUGUACAUUAAACAGCCUCACUCAUCUAACUUCUGUGUGUUCAUCUGGAAUCAAUCUGGAUACAAUCUUCUAAUGGGACACGGGGUAAUAAUGCUAUGGUAACAGUUGGAUAAUGCAGAAAAAGAGCUAUUAUAAAGCCAUAACUCAGUCAAUGAGUUCUGAUAACAUAAUAAACCACAAGAGUGAACACCAA